rnacentral:lncRNA from 1 species
GAAGGAAGAAUGAAAAUUACAAUAAAAAAAUCCUGAUCCUAGUAGAAUACUAACAAUGCUCUAAUUAGACCAUAAUAAUGCUAAGCAAGCUUAAUCGAAUUCAAAAAAAAUUCAAAGAAAUUUCAAACAAAUAAUAAGAAUUCUUAAAGAAAUAUUAAAAGGAUCACAAAUACCACUCAAAUACAUCUCAAUUCAAUCUUUAUUUAAUUCUAGUCAAAAUCCUAUCGAACUUCAUUCAAACUUUAGGCCAAAACUGAUUAAAUCUUAAACCCUAAAUUCUAAAUCAAAUCCUAAUCAAAUUCUAAUCAAAUCUUAAUCAAAUCCUAAACCUUAAAUCAAUCUCUAAAUCAAAUCCUAAAUCCUAAUUCAAAUCCUAAUCCAAAUCCUAAACCAAAUCCUAAAUCAAAUCCUAAAUCCUAAACCAAAUCUUAACCAAAUUCUAAUCCAAACCCUAAAUCCUAAACCAAACCCUAACCAAAUCCUAAUCCAAACUUUAAAUCCUAACCAAACCCUAAUCCAAAUCCUAAACCAAAUCCUAAAUCCUAAUCAAAUCCUAAAUCCUAAACCAAAACCUAACCCUAAACCAAACCCUAAUCCAAUCCCUA